ACAUGAGGGGGUGAGGCUGUCGGACAGUGCCUGCUGCUGCUGGUCCUGUCCACAAGGAGCCCCCAGCCUUUCUCAGACUCAACUGCAGACACAACCCACCGCCACCAUGUCUGACGAGGAAACUGAACAAGUUGAGGGUAAGUGUCUUCUCUAUUUUCUCUC